rnacentral:rRNA from 1 species
CACGGAGUUAGCCGAUCCUUAUUCUUACCGUACAUUCAACCCCGAUCACGAUCAGGGAAUUAUUCCGGUAUAAAAGCAGUUUACAACCCGUAGGGCCGUCUUCCUGCACGCGGCAUGGCUGGUUCAGGCUUCCGCCCAUUGACCAAUAUUCCUUACUGCUGCCUCCCGUAGGAGUCUGGUCCGUGUCUCAGUACCAGUGUGGGGGGUCAUCCUCUCAGAUCCCCUAGACAUCGUGGUCUUGGUGAGCCGUUACCUCACCAACUAACUAAUGUCACGCAUGCCCAUCUUAAUCCUAUAAAUAUUUGAUCAUUUGCUGAUGCCAGCUUGUGAUUUUAUGUCGGUCUUAAUCUCUCUUUCGAGAGGCUUACUCCCCCUGACUUAAGGUAGGUUGCAUACGCGUUACGCACCGUGCGCCACUUUCAUGACAGAGCAAGCUCCGUCAAUCUCGUCCGACUUGCAUGUAUUAGGCCUGCCGCUAGCGUUCAU